CCUACGGGAGGCAGCAGUGAGGAAUAUUGGUCAAUGGGCGCAAGCCUGAACCAGCCAAGUAGCGUGAAUGAUGACUGCCCUACGGGUUGUAAACUUCUUUUAUAAAGGGAUAAAGUGAGGCACGUGUGCCUUUUUGUAUGUACUUUAUGAAUAAAGAUCGGCUAACUCCGUUCCAGCAGCCGCGGUAAUACGGAGGCUCCGAGCGUUAUCCGGAUUUAUUGGGUUUAAAGUGAGCGUAGAUGGGGUGUUAAGUCAGUUGUGAAAGUUUGCGGCUCAACCGGACAAUUGCAUUUGAUACUGGCAGUCUUGAGUACAGGUGAGGUAGGUGGAAUUCGAGGUGUAGCGGUGAAAUGCGUAGAUAUCACGAAGAACUCCGAUUGCGAAGGCAGCUUACUAAGAUGCCACUGACAUUGAUGUUCGAAAGUGUGGGGAUCAAACAGGAUUAGAUACCCGUGUAGUC
rnacentral:rRNA from 1 species